rnacentral:rRNA from 1 species
AAACAUAGCCUUUAGCCAUACCAGUAUUAAAGGUUACGCCUGCCCAGUGAUAAUAUUUAAACGGCCGCGGUAUACUAACCGUGCAAAGGUAGCACAAUCACUUGUUCUUUAAAUAAGGACUAGUAUGAAUGGCGACAUGAGGAUCAACUUGUCUUUCACAGCCGGUCUAUGAAACUGAUCUUCCGGUACAAAAGCCGGAAUAAACUCACAAGACGAGAAGACCCUGUGGAGCUUUAAACUUUAUAUCACCUCAAAUGACUAUCCAGUUUUUAGUUGGGGCGACUUUGGAGCAAAACAAAACCUCCGAACACACAAAUCUAGGCCUACACGCCGUAAACCACACAACCCACGACCCAAUAAAAUUGACCAAUGAACCAAGUUACCCCAGGGAUAACAGCGCAAUCUUCUUUUAGAGUCCCUAUCGACAAGAAGGCUUACGACCUCGAUGUUGGAUCCGGAUACCCAAAUAGUGCAGCCGCUAUUAAAGGUUCGUUUGUUCAACGAUUAAUAAUCCCACGCGAUCUGA